rnacentral:lncRNA from 1 species
GAGUAAGCUCCAGCCUCCCCUGAGGAAGUGCUGGUCAGGCGCUGGGUCCCUGGCUUCCUGUCUGUACUCUCCCUAGCCUGUGGGGAAAUCCCGAGAGCUUUGUCGGCUGCCCAACGAGCCUGUUGGCUUUUCAAGUUCCUUCACUGUGGCUUUCAGAAGCAGUCAGGAGGACGCUCAGAGCCAGAUGUGUAACUCUUUGCUGCUAGCUGCACGGGUUUCCCAUCGCCUUCCUUUUGCCACCGGAAGCAGAGACUAAAAGCAAGAAACAGGCUUUCAUAUAUGAAAUGUGAAUCAGAGCGCUACACACCUGUGUGUCAUUUGAUCCCUACCACAUGGCUAUUUCUAACACCUAGAAAGAAAGAGAAGACAGAAGCUGAGACAAGUUAACAACUUAGAGGGUGAGUCUGG